rnacentral:tRNA from 1 species
ACCUGGCUGGCUCAGUCAGUAGAGCAUGAGACUUUUGAUCUUGGGGUAGUGGGUUCAAGUCCCACUAGGGUA